GACGAACGCUGGCGGCGUGCUUAACACAUGCAAGUCGAACGAAGUGGCGAACGGGUGAGUAACGCGUAAUCAACCUGCCCUUCAGAGGGGGACAACAGGUGGAAACGACUGCUAAUACCGCAUACUGAAGGAGGGGAUUGCGUCUGAUUAGCUAGUUGGAGGGGUAACGGCCCACCAAGGCGAUGAUCGGUAGCCCGUCUGGGAGGGUGAACGGCCACAAUGGGACUGAGGAACGGCCCCGACCCCUACGGGUGGGAGCAGUGGGGGAUCUUCCCGAAUGGACGGAAGGCUUACGGAGCAACGCCGCGUGGGUGAUUACGGCCCUCGGGUUGGUAAGCUCUGUUAAUCGGGACGCGGUACCGGAAUAGAAAGCCACGGCUAACUACGUGCCAGCAGCCGCGGUAAUUC
rnacentral:rRNA from 1 species